GGAGAACAUCACACUUUGGGUUCGAGAAAGGGCUAAGGACUAGUUUGGACAAGUGGGAGGAAACAUUAGAAGGUGAUGAAAAGAUAGGCUGUUUUCCCAGCUGAGUGCAGGGAACAGCAGAGAAACAAAGACUGUUUAUCCUGGAAGCAGCUUGGGGCAGACAUUUGUGCUUACAGUGUAUUCACACCUUCGGACACAGCGA